rnacentral:lncRNA from 1 species
CCUGGGCCUGGCCCUUGUCUCUAAGGACUGGCGGUUCCUGCAGCGAAUGAUCACCGCUCCUUGCAUCCUCUUCCUGUUUUAUGGCUGGCCCGGUCUGUUUCUGGAGUCCGCACGGUGGCUGAUAGUGAAACGGCAGAUUGAGGAAGCCCAGUCUGUGCUGAGGAUCCUGGCUGAGCGAAACCGGCCCCAUGGCCAGAUGCUGGGAGAAGAGGCCCAGGAAGCCCUGCAGGCUGUUUCUAACGGCUCCUCUCUUUCCCCCCAAAGAGCUGGAGAAUACCUGUCCUCUCCCCACAACGUCCACCUUUUCCUUCGCCUCCCUCCUCAACUACCGAAACAUCUGGAAAAAUC